GACAGAGGGGGCAAGCGUUGCUCGGAAUCACUGGGCGUAAAGGGCGCGUAGGCGGUCUGUCGCGUCGGCUGUGAAAACCCGGGGCUCAACCCCGGGCCUGCAGUCGAUACGGGCAGACUAGAGUGUGGUAGGGGAGACUGGAAUUCCUGGUGUAGCGGUGAAAUGCGCAGAUAUCAGGAGGAACACCGGUGGCGAAGGCGGGUCUCUGGGCCAUAACUGACGCUGAGGAGCGAAAGCAUGGGGAGCGAACAGG
rnacentral:rRNA from 1 species